UUUUUGAAGGUCUGCCGAUUUGUACGUGGUGUUGUYUGCCUUGCAACACCAUUUAGGCGGGAAGCCUGUUGAUCCAUGUUCGUACCUUGGUUGUGCAAGCUGCGGCCAAUGACCAAGUGUGCUUUGGACAUGGUGAUGCGGGUAUCGAGACAAGGCAUGUCGGUUUAAUCGUUGCUUUCGCAUCGUUCGGUGCAUUUUGGGGGCUGUUUCGGCUUUUGGUUGCUUGCUUGGCCUUUGUGCUUGGCGKGUGGCUACUAGUUGGGCGGUCUUCGGGAAUGUCGACCGUAAAGGUGCAUGAGUGGUGUUUGGUUUGUUACGGGUGGUUGGAUGUCUGCUUGCGCAGCAACUUCCUCGCGUGCAUACCUCUUCAGUUGUGYGGCAAGGCUUGUUUSGUCUUGAGCAUCUUUGUGGGUUUCCUGUGUUGCAUACCUAACYGAUGGCAUYGUGUGGUUYGAUARACGUCCCUUUUCGUCAUGYGUCGCUCGUGCGACRUGUGAUGAACCUCGAAGCGGUCUYCGUGAUCCACCUUGUCGGUGCCCUUGCAUCGACGAUGUGGCCCAUGAAGCAUUGCUUGGUCUCUUGUGUACGGAACCUGAUUUGGGCAUGGGUCUUGSUUGAUCCUACAUUUGCCCUUGUUAAGCGUUCUCGCUUCUCUAAAA
rnacentral:misc_RNA from 1 species